AGGUCAUCAGCAGUACGCAUCAACUGAUGCAAGCAGAAGAGUAUUAGAACAAGCUUAUGACCAAGGGUCAACAUGAAGGAGAAAGAAGGUGAGAUGACAGGUGCCUUCCAAGUGAAUAAAUAAAAACAGCAAAUACUUAAUCCAAGCAUACUGUUAGAAUAGGUACGUAUACCGUAUAGAUUGAUGUAAAUCCCCAUAAUCAAGGAAUCCCUUGACUACUAAAAUUGUGUAUUUCUCCUUAAUAGGGACUCUGUAAUUGUGUAUAUAUAUACAAUCAUAGCUUGAGAGUCAUCAUCAAGCUAAUAUUCCACAAAAUUCUCUUCUUCUUUUUCUUCUUCU
rnacentral:misc_RNA from 1 species